GGAGGGGUGGCCGAGUGGUUGAAGGCGCACGCUUGGAAAGCGUGUAUACGUUUACGCGUAUCGUGGGUUCGAAUCCCACUCCCUCCGCCA
rnacentral:tRNA from 1 species